AAAGAAGGAAAGGAGGAAAAUAAAAUAAAAUGUAUUAAAUUACUUUGGGGGAAAAAUAGAGCAGCCUAGGCAUAUUUUUUCACUGAGAUGCAUGAGAAUUACUCAGGAUUAUACAGGCCUCCAGGGAAAGCCUGGCUAGGUGGCCUAUUUCUCAUGCCCUACACUGUGCUCAUUUAUUUACCAUGAGGCACAUUUUGGAUUUGCAGGUGCGUCACUAGGACACAAGACAGCAGACACCACUCUGGAAUGGCACUAAGGAUGGGGACCCAGUGAAGUCUUCUGUCCUAUCUGCUCUGUCUUCUCAGCCCACUGCUUGUCUCCUCCCAAUUGUGACCUCAUGUUAUUCCAGAAUGAGCUCCCUCCUGAGCCUUUUUUGUUCUGGGUUCUGUCCUGUAAUGGGAGUGAAGGCUACAAUUGGGGAUGGAAUAUGCUGAGCUGGUAGCAGAGAUGCAUCUGGAUGGAGGAAGGGAAACUUCUUGGCCCAGGGUGAGAUGCUGUCACCAAAAUCCUUUCUUCCUUGGCCCCUUCCCCAGGGGUUAUGAGUGGGCUCUUCCAUAGAAGAUGGACCCUGGUAGAGGAAGAGCUGAAGGGAAGCAAGGCAGCUGUGACAGACCCUGAGACCCCUGAAGACAUACUGAGAGGAGACAGAUGAGGCAGACCCCAGGAGCAGCCAAGAGCCCCAAACUGAUGCCAAAUGCUUGGAACGGAGCCAAUAAAGCCUUGUAUCCCCUCA